UUUUUAGCAUUUGGUCUGUUUGGUUAUAUGAUGUUAUAAAUAAUUGGAACAUGAUUGUCCCUUUCCUACUCAGACUUCUUAUAUGCUAAGUAAUAAACUCUCAUGACUGUCUAAUUUAGGUUGGUAUAGCUACUUUUACAUUUUUUGUUGUUUACUCUUCAAGGUGUAAUAAGACAAUUACUUCUGCAUGAUGAGAGAUAAAAUCUUAUAUUCUAUUGUGUGUUUUGGUAUUUGGGUAUUUUCUUUCAUCUCAAUGCAACUAAGUUAAACCUUAAUUUUAUUGCUUGUGGCUGGCUAUUCAUCUGCUGUUUUUCUUCUUCUUCUCUUUUGCAUUGUAAGUGUCUACAGCCAUAAUAGCAGUGAGCUAUAGGGCUAGCUAUCUUCAGCCCUGCCAUGGCCAAAGUUAUGUUCUGUGUGUCUACUUGUCAAUUUCAUUCUAUUUCCCUUUCUUCACUCCUUCCUCUCCAAUUUGCGCUCCAUUUAAUGAUUUUAAUAUCUAUGACAUGAAUCCUUUUUGCCUAACACAUCUGUUAAGGAUUAGUUGUAAAUAGAGUUCUAUUAGGAGUUAGAUUCCUAAUUAGUUUAUGAUUUGUAUUCCUAAAUAGCUAGGUAGCAUAGGAAUUCCUUAUAUAUAGACCUAUGUAAUCGAUUGAUGAGAUACAAGAAAUACAAUUACAAUAUAAUCUCUCAA